rnacentral:rRNA from 1 species
UUCCGGUUGAUCCUGCCGGACCCGACUGCUAUCAGAGUGAGAUUAAGCCAUGCGUGUUAACGUAGCAAUACGUGGCGCACGGCUCAGUAACACGUAGUCAACAUGCCCAGAGGACGUGGAUAACCUCGGGAAACUGAGUCUAAACCGCGAUAAGUGAGGAUUUCUGGAAUGGUUCCUGACUAAAAUCUAUAUGGCCUCUGGAUUGGACUGCGGCCGAUCAGGCUGUUGGUGAGGUAAUGGCCCACCAAACCUGUAACCGGUACGGGCUCUGAGAGGAGGAGCCCGGAGAUGGGCACUGAGACAAGGGCCCAGGCCCUAUGGGGCGCAGCAGGCGCGAAACCUCUGCAAUAGGCGAAAGCCUGACAGGGUUACUCUGAGUGACUUUCGCUAAGAAAGUCUUUUGGCACCUCUAAAAAGGGUGCAGAAUAAGGGGUGGGCAAGUCUGGUGUCAGCCGCCGCGGUAAUACCAGCACCCCGAGUGGUCGGGACGAUUAUUGGGCCUAAAGCAUCCGUAGCCGGUUCUGCAAGUCCCCCGUUAAAUCCAGCUGCUCAACAGAUGGGCCGCGGAGGAUACUACAGAGCUAGGAGGCAGGAGAGGCAAGCGGUACUCAGUGGGUAGGGGUAAAAUCCGUUGAUCCAUUGAAGACCACCAGUGGCGAAGGCGGCUUGCCAGAAUGCGCUCGACGGUGAGGGAUGAAAGCUGGGGGAGCAAACCGGAUUAGAUACCCGGGUAGUCCCAG